GUGCCAGCAGCAGCGGUAAUACGGAGGGAGCUAGCGUUGUUCGGAAUUACUGGGCGUAAAGCGCGCGUAGGCGGUUACUCAAGUCAGAGGUGAAAGCCCGGGGCUCAACCCCGGAACUGCCUUUGAAACUGGUGACUAGAAUCUUGGAGAGGUCAGUGGAAUUCCGAGUGUAGAGGUGAAAUUCGUAGAUAUUCGGAAGAACACCAGUGGCGAAGGCGACUGACUGGACAAGUAUUGACGCUGAGGUGCGAAAGUGUGGGAGCAAACAGGAUUAGAUACCCUGGUAGUCCACACCGUAAACGAU
rnacentral:rRNA from 1 species